GAUGAACGCUGGCGGCGUGCCUAAUACAUGCAAGUCGAGCGAACAGAUAAGGAGCUUGCUCCUUUGACGUUAGCGGCGGACGGGUGAGUAAUACGUGGAUAACCUACCUAUAAGACUGGGAUAACUUCGGGAAACCGGAGCUAAUACCGGAUAACAUAUUGAACGGCAUGGUUCAAUAGUGAAAGGCGGCUUUGCUGUCACUUAUAGAUGGAUCCGCGCCGUAUUAGCUAGUUGGUAAGGUAACGGCUUACCAAGGCAACGAUACGUAGCCGACCUGAGAGGGUGAUCGGCCACACUGGAACUGAGACACGGUCCAGACUCCUACGGGAGGCAGCAGUAGGGAAUCUUCCGCAAUGGGCGAAAGCCUGACGGAGCAACGCCGCGUGAGUGAUGAAGGUCUUCGGAUCGUAAAACUCUGUUAUCAGGGAAGAACAAAUGUGUAAGUAACUGUGCACAUCUUGACGGUACCUGAUCAGAAAGCCACGGCUAACUACGUG
rnacentral:rRNA from 1 species